UGGCACUGUUCGUAACCUGUUAACAGCAUCUUCCUGCUAAUGGGUUCCAUUCCAGUGCUACAUGAUACCCCCAGGUAAUAAAGGCUGGUUGUUUGUCUGCCUGUCCCUGUUAUUUUGGGGGACAUAG
ensembl:snoRNA